CCUCUCCGGUUAACAUCCCCCCCCCUCCCUUGUUUUGCUGCCAAUGUGGCACAGGGGCGGCAGCAGCUGCAAACAUUGCAGCAGAGUUGGCAAAGCGGCUCCAGGAGCAGCUUGGGGGGGGGGGGAGAGGAGGGGGGGGGAGAGGGAGGAGUGUUGUUAUUAUUGUCAUCAGCGUUAUUAUUUGAGCAGCACUCGGGCCCAUGGGCUGAUAAAUGGGUGCCAUCCUCAUUGUUCCCACUUUGCAGUGGAAGCAGAAAUCGUUUCUUAGGGCUUUUUUGGUCUUUUUUUUUUUUUUCCCUAUUUUUUUUUCUCCUUUUCCUCAUUUUUUUUUUCUUUUUCCUCUUUUUCGCCUCAUUUUUCUCCUUUUCCCUCUUUUUUUUUCUCAUCUUUUUCUUCUUUUUCCUUUCUUCUAUUUUCCCUUUUCUCACCCUUUUCUUCUUUUUCUUCUUUUUUCUCCCUCUUUUCUUUUUUUCUGUUUUUUCAUCUUUUUUUCUCUUUCUCCUCUUUUUCCUUUUUCCUUUUUUCUUUUUCACUUUUUCCCCUCUUUUUCUUCUCUUUUUUCUCUUCUCUUUUUUCUUACUUUUUUCUCUUUCCUUUCUUUUUUUUCCUCUCUUUUCCCCCUCCUUUUCCUCUUUUCUUUCUCACUUUCCUCUUUUUUCUCUUUUCCACCUUUUUUUCCCCUUUUUCCUCUCUUUUAUCUUUUUUCCUCUUUUUUUCUUUUUCCUUUUUUCUUUCCUCUUUUUUUUCUCCCUUUCUCCUUUUUCUUCUUCUUUUUCUUCUUUUUUCCUCUUUUCCUCUCUUUUUUAUUCUUUUUCCCCUCUCCUUUCUCCUUUUUCAUCCAUUGUCCUCUUUGCUCCUCUUUUUUCUUUUUUUCCUUUUUCCUCUUUAUUUUCUUUUUCCUCUCCGUUUUCUUACUUUUUUUCUGCUUUUCCUCUUUUUUCCUCCUUCUUUUCCUCUUUCCUCUCAUUUUUCUUUUUCCUCUUUUCCUCCUUUUUCUCUUUUUCUGUUUUUCAUCUUUUUCCACUUUUUUCCCUUUUUCCUCUUUUUUUCUUUUUUCCUCUCUUUCUUCUCUUUUCCAUCUUUUUUUUUACCUUUUCCUCUCUUUCUUCUUUUUCCUUUCUCCUUUCUCUUUUUUUCUCUUUUUUCUUCAAUUUCCUCUUCUUAUUCUUUUUCCUUUUCUCUUUUCUCCUUUUCUCUCUUUUUCUCUUUUCCUCUUUUUCUUCUACUUUUUCUCUUUCCUCUCUUUUUUAUUUUUCCUCUUUUCCUCUUCUUCCUUUUUCCUUUUUAUCUUCUUUCUUCUCUUUUCUUUUUAUUUUUUUCUGUUUUCUCUCCUUUUUCACUCUUUUUCAUCUUUUUCUUCUCUUUUCCCUCUUUUUCCUCCUCUUUUUCUUUUUUCUUUUUCCUUUUUCCUUCAAUUUCAGAUUCAUGCUCCGCAGCGCAAACUGGAAAAAUUCAUCUUAAACUGCUAAAAUCAGGCAGGUCGAGACCUUUCUGUUAACAAUCCUCCACUCCAUCCUUGAAAUCGAAAGUAGUGAAGGAUUUUGCAGAAAAUAAUGGAUCAUUUUCCCAUUUACCCACGAUUCAAGGAUUAAUAACUAAUCCCAUCAAAGGACAUCUGCUUAGAUUGUUCCUUGUCAGUGAAAGUAAAUAGAGCCUUUUAGUCUUUAGACCUGAACUCCUCUGAGGUCAUUAUGCCGAGGGAACCUCCUACCAGUGGCUGCUUUCUCUUUCACUCCUGCUGUGCCCAACCCUGGAGGGAGAAAGCAAACUUUGCUGGUCCUGAACAUAAAGGUUACGUGCUGGAACGGGGCAGGCCUUUGCAAGAGGCCAAUAAGCUGAGACCCUGCUGUCCCCAUGGGAUGGGUGAGGGCAGAAGCUGCAGCUCACACUGCCCUGCUGCUGCACAGGGUGCCCCCAGCCCAAGCUCCACCAUUUGGAACACGGCUGAGCAUCUCCUCCACCAAUACCAGCUGUGGGUUUUGCACUUUGCUUUGGGAAACCUUACUGGGAGAGAGAUACAGACAGAAAGAAAUGCUGCUCGACCCUCUCCUUCAUGCAUGAAAUAUAGGAGGGAUCCCGACGUGGGGCCCCGACCCCAAACCAAUGCCAGCUCUGAGCUAUGGAGGGGAACUUUUGGAGCCAGGGGGGGUUUUAGGCUGUGACCCCACUGUGCCAACCUCCAUGGCUGGUAAGGCAGGUGCUGGCUCAGACGAAGCAAACAAUUGCAGCAGAGCCAGUGGGAGUUCAAAAGGAGCGGCGCUGAAUGAAAUGAUGGCAAUUUCCCUUAUUUACAGCCGCUUGAAGGUGCACGCUGGGAAUGUUUAGAUAUCCUUGUUAUCCCCUCCGAUACCUAGGGAACGUUAUUUUUAAUGAGCAGGGCUGUAAUCAGGCCGCAUUCGUGCCAGGCAUCCCUUACAAACAAACGCCGUUCUCCAAAAGGACCUUCCAGAUUCCAGGUCCCAUCCAAAACCCUUUUUAAGGCUGAAGAAAAGGCAACUGCCCUCCGGAGAGCUCUGGGCAGUUGGAUGAGCUGGGAGGUGCUGCGGACACUGCGCCCGAUUUGAUGAGGUCAGAGCUCCUUUCAGUCUGGAGAAGGAGCUUCGUUUUAUUUGUGUCACUCAGCAUUUGGGGAUGAAGUGGGAAUGAGGAUAAUGCCGCAUUCUGGGCUGUGGUGGUGUGGUAGAAAUGAAUUUGUUUUCAGGCUCCAGCCCCUUCCCCUGCGAAGCUCAGCACGGGUGCUCGGAAUGCAUUUAGCUGUGGUUUGGCCUUUUGGUUGAACUGUAGUGUCCGUUGCAGCUGGGAAAACCUUGCUGGGGACAAGCAGGAGGGAAGCAUGAGGUUGAGGAUGUGUCCGCGCCCUUCCAUUCUUGGCUGGAAUGGAGCAGAGCACGCAGUGCUGGAGGCUGCCAUGAACAGCACAGCCCUGCAACCCCGCGGAUGGCUCUGGGGCAUCAUGGCUCUGUCCUUCAGUGCACAACUGCUUGCUUGAAAGCACUUUUUUUGGGGAUGCAUUUUUACCCUCUGCGAUAGUGGAAGGGUGGCGUUGUUUGGCCCACGUGGAGCAAAAAUGCCUGCAGGAUUCCCACUGCUUACGGAAAAAGGGCAGCGCACGGAGUAGGUGUUAAUAACUCACCCAAAUCCAGACCCUUCUCCCUCUCCCCCAAAUCCACCGAGCCGCUCACACGCCCGUGCUCCGAAUUCUGAUGGGAUUUCAAACAAAACCUGCGUGCUGCUGCCACGGCAUCAGCAAUGGGAGCCGUUGGAAGCAGCGGUGGGUGCGUGGAAAAGAAGUGCACACCUCGGUACAAACACUUCAAAAGCCAAAAAAUCGUAUUGGAGCCAUCGGAGGCGUUUCUUACAGAGCCCAAACGUCUCCCAAAUGGAGCCUCUCUGAGCUGGCAGGCAAAAAAAAUGCGGAAUUUUGCCCUAAAAAAUCCCAGGCUGCUCCAUGCCAGGGCCCCGCACUCAUUCAGCUGGGUUGAAACAGAGCUCUGUGCACGCACCUGGAAUGCACCCAUGCAUUCACCCCCUCCUGAAGCACACAGCCCCUUCAACGCAGCCCUCUGCCCUGUGCGGACCCGAGGGGGGGGGGGGGG
ensembl:lncRNA